rnacentral:rRNA from 1 species
AGCGAACGCUGGCGGCAGGCCUAACACAUGCAAGUCGAACGAACCUUUCGGGGUUAGUGGCGGACGGGUGAGUAACACGUGGGAACGUGCCUUUAGGUUCGGAAUAACUCAGGGAAACUUGUGCUAAUACCGAAUGUGCCCUUCGGUGGAAAGAUUAAUCGCCUUUAGAGCGGCUCGCGUCUGAUUAGCUAGUUGGUUGAGGUAAUGGCUCACCAAGGCGACGAUCAGUAGCUGGUCUGAGAGGAUGAUCAGCCACAUUGGGACUGAGACACGGCCCAAACUCCUACGGGAGGCAGCAGUGGGGAAUCUUGCGCAAUGGGCGAAAGCCUGACGCAGCCAUGCCGCGUGAAUGAUGAAGGUCUUAGGAUUGUAAAAUUCUUUCACCGGGGACGAUAAUGACGGUACCCGGAGAAGAAGCCCCGGCUAACUUCGUG